rnacentral:rRNA from 1 species
GACGAACGCUGGCGGCGUGCCUAAUACAUGCAAGUUGAGCGCUGAAGGUUGGUACUUGUACCGACUGGAUGAGCAGCGAACGGGUGAGUAACGCGUGGGGAAUCUGCCUUUGAGCGGGGGACAACAUUUGGAAACGAAUACUAAUACCGCAUAAAAACUUUAAACACAAGUUUUAAGUUUGAAAGAUGCAAUUGCAUCACUCAAAGAUGAUCCCGCGUUGUAUUAGCUAGUUGGUGAGGUAAAGGCUCACCAAGGCGAUGAUACAUAGCCGACCUGAGAGGGUGAUCGGCCACAUUGGGACUGAGACACGGCCCAAACUCCUACGGGAGGCAGCAGUAGGGAAUCUUCGGCAAUAGACGAAAGUCUGACCGAGCAACGCCGCGUGAGUGAAGAAGGUUUUCGGAUCGUAAAACUCUGUUGGUAGAGAAGAACGUUGGUGAGAGUGGAAAGCUCAUCAAGUGACGGUAACUACCCAGAAAGGGACGGCUAACUACGUG